CUCGAACCUGUGCGUAGCCGUCGCAGAAUUGUGGCCACCAUGUAUUAUAACACCGACUGGAUGUGUCCACACAUCGUUCUGUGAUUAUAGGUCGCACCGUAGAAGCCAUCCUUGCAAUUACACGUACAAGUAGAUCGAUCCAACACACCGCAGUUAUCACAGGAAUCGAUAGCACAAUCUACUCAAGGAAUAAACGAAUGAGAUAAGGGAGAAGAUAACAGUUAUGAAGUAGGAAAUAAAGGAGAAGUAAACGAAGAAGGGGAAUAGAA